rnacentral:misc_RNA from 1 species
GAAAUGCGAUAAGUAAUGUGAAUUGCAGAAUUCAGUGAAUCAUCGAAUCUUUGAACGCACAUUGCGCCCGCCAGUAUUCUGGCGGGCAUGCCUGUUCGAGCGUCAUUACAACCCUCAGGCCCCCGGGCCUGGCGUUGGGGAUCGGCGGAAGCCCCCUGCGGGCACAACGCCGUCCCCCAAAUACAGUGGCGGUCCCGCCGCAGCUUCCAUUGCGUAGUAGCUAACACCUCGCAACUGGAGAGCGGCGCGGCCACGCCGUAAAACACCCAACUUCUGAAUGUUGACCUCGAAGCAGGUAGGAAUACCCGCUGAACUUAAGC